rnacentral:rRNA from 1 species
CACGAACGCUGGCGGCAGGCUUAACACAUGCAAGUCGAGCGCCCCGCAAGGGGAGCGGCAGACGGGUGAGUAACGCGUGGGAAUCUACCCAUCUCUACGGAAUAACCCAUGGAAACGUGUGCUACUACCGUAUACGUCCUUCGGGAGAAUGAUUUAUCGGAGAUGGAUGAGCCCGCAUUGGAUUAGCUCGUUGGUGGGGUAAAGGCCUACCAGGUCGACGAUCCAUAGCUGGUCUGAGAGGAGGAUCAGCCACACGGGGACGGAGACGCGGCCCAGACACCUACGAGAGGCAGCAGAGGGGAAGAUGGGACAAUGGGCGCAGGCCUGUACCGGCCAUGGCGCGUGAGGGAUGAAGGCCGCAGGGUUUUAAAGCUCUUGCACCGGUGAAGAUAAUGACGGUAAACGGAGAAGAAGCCCCGGGUAACUUCGUGCCAGCCGCCGCCGUAAAAC